rnacentral:rRNA from 1 species
GCGUGAGUGAAGAAGGCCUUAGGGUUGUAAAACUCUUUCAGCAGGGAAGAUAAUGACGGUACCUGCAGAAGAAGCUCCGGCUAACUCCGUGCCAGCAGCCGCGGUAAUACGGAGGGAGCUAGCGUUGUUCGGAAUUACUGGGCGUAAAGCGUGCGUAGGCGGACCAUUAAGUUGGGGGUGAAAUCCCGGGGCUUAACCCCGGAACUGCCCUCAAAACUAGUGGUCUAGAGACCGGGAGAGGUAAGCGGAAUUCCUAGUGUAGAGGUGAAAUUCGU